rnacentral:rRNA from 1 species
AUGGCCAACGCAAUGUUGCUCGCUGCAGUGCUCGUCUCCUUCCUCCCCCUGCCCUUCUCCGCCCUGGCCCUGACCCAGGACUUCUGCGUGGCUGACCUGGCCUGCCCCGACACGCCGGCAGGGUACCCGUGCAAAAAGGGCGUCGGGGCGGACGACUUCUACUACCACGGCCUGGCCGCCGCCGGCAACACCAACAACCUCAUCAAGGCCUUCGUGGGCCAGUUCCCCGGCGUCAACGGGCUCGGCAUCUCCGCGGCCAGGCUCGACAUCGCCGUCGGCGGCGUCGUGCGGCUGCACACCCACCCGGCCGCCUCCGAGCUGCUCUUCGUCACGGAGGGCACCAUCCUCGCCGGCUUCAUCAGCUCCUCCUCUAACACCGUCUACACCAAGACGCUCUACAAGGGCGACAUCAUGGUCUUCCCCCAGGGCCUGCUCCACUACCAGUACAACGGCGGUAGCUCCCCGGCCGUCGCCCUCGUCGCCUUCAGCGGCCCCAACCCUGGCCUGCAGAUCACCGACUACGCGCUCUUCGCCAACAACCUCCCGUCCGCCGUCGUUGAGACCGUCACCUUCCUCGACGACGCGCAGGUCAAGAAGCUCAAGUUCGUGCUCGGCGGCACCGGCUAA